ACAGCAUGGUGAGGGUAUUUUUUAAUCAAUUUUUUUAAUCUCUCUCAAGUCUUAUGAAAUAUCUCUUCAUCCAAUUGGGAAAAACUAGUUAUGGCUUUUCUGAUUUG